rnacentral:rRNA from 1 species
AAAUUGAAGAGUUUGAUCAUGGCUCAGAUUGAACGCUGGCGGCAGGCCUAACACAUGCAAGUCGAACGGUAGCACAGAGAGCUUGCUCUCGGGUGACGAGUGGCGGACGGGUGAGUAAUGUCUGGGAAACUGCCUGAUGGAGGGGGAUAACUACUGGAAACGGUAGCUAAUACCGCAUAACGUCGCAAGACCAAAGUGGGGGACCUUCGGGCCUCAUGCCAUCAGAUGUGCCCAGAUGGGAUUAGCU